rnacentral:tRNA from 1 species
GGGGAGGUGGCAGAUAAUGCGGUGGACUGUAAAUCUAUUCAUGUGAGUUGUAACCUCACCCUCCCCA